rnacentral:misc_RNA from 1 species
ACUUAUAAGCUGCACAAUCCACUCAUUAUCGAUUUGGAUUAUGCAAAUCAUCGCUGGGUGACUCCCUUAUCAAUUUGGUCCUGGAUUUCUUCUUGAAUCUAUCUAUCAAGUGUGCCCAAUGCUUAUAAGUUCAAUUAAAAGCACUGACCAGGUCCUGCAGUUCGAGACAGCCUCCUUAUGGCUUGUGUGUGUGAGCCGGACCUUACUUCCUCUAUCGAUAAGGCGCAAGAAGUCCAGAAGGCAUGUUCCUAGACGGCUCUUUGAUAUUACCAAAAUGGAGAAGAGACGGUCGGGAUCAGACUGAAUGUGAAAGUGUUGUACAGUGCGUGAAAAAAGUUUUCGAAGAAAACUUUAAUAGCCGGCAAAGACGGGGGCACGUUGAUAAUGUGAUAAAUAUUUCGUGAUGGGAAAUAAAGAAAAGCGGGACCAGA